rnacentral:rRNA from 1 species
UACGUAGGUGACAAGCGUUGUCCGGAUUUACUGGGCGUAAAGAGCGCGCAGGCGGUCGUUCAAGUCGAGUGUGAAAGCCCCCGGCUCAACUGGGGAGGGUCAUUCGAUACUGAUCGACUCGAAGGCAGGAGAGGGUAGUGGAAUUCCCGGUGUAGUGGUGAAAUGCGUAGAUAUCGGGAGGAACACCAGUGGCGAAGGCGGGUCUCUGGACAGUUCCUGACACUGAGGCACGAAGGCCAGGGGAGCAAACGGG